UGAGGAAUUUUGCACAAUGGGGGAAACCCUGAUGCAGCGACGCCGCGUGGGGGAUGAAGGAGCUUUGCUCUGUAAACCUCUGUCGGAUGGGAUGAAAAGUCGGCAAUGCCGACCGGGACCGUACCAUCGGAGGAAGGACCGGCUAACUACGUGCCAGCAGCCGCGGUAAUACGUAGGGUCCAAGCGUUGUCCGGAUUUACUGGGUGUAAAGGGUGCGCAGGCGGGCUUGCGCGUCGAAGGUUAAAUACCUCGGCUUAACCGAGGAGCUGCCUUCGAUACGGCAAGUCUUGAAUAUGAGAGAGGAUGAUAGAAUUCCUGGUGUAGCGGUGAAAUGCGUAGAUAUCAGGAGGAAUACCGGUGGCGAAGGCGGUCAUCUGGCUCAUUAUUGACGCUCAGGCACGAAAGCGUGGGGAGCGAACA
rnacentral:rRNA from 1 species